UCCUUAUAAAGAGUUCGGGGGAGGAACUGGUCCUAUGAUCCCGCAGCAACUGGUGUAUACACAAAGGUGCUAAGUCCAGCAAGCUAAGCUUGAAAGAUGAGGA
rnacentral:ncRNA from 1 species